rnacentral:rRNA from 1 species
UACGUAGGGUGCAAGCGUUAAUCGGAAUUACUGGGCGUAAAGCGUGCGCAGGCGGUUUUGUAAGUCUGUCGUGAAAUCCCCGGGCUCAACCUGGGAAUGGCAUUUGGGACUGCAAGGCUGGAGUGCGGCAGAGGAGACUGGAAUUCCUGGUGUAGCAGUGAAAUGCGUAGAUAUCAGGAGGAAUACCGAUGGGCGAAGGCAGGUCUCUGGGAUAACACUGACGCUCAUGCACGAAAGCGUGGGGAGCAAACAGG